rnacentral:misc_RNA from 1 species
GAAAUGCGAUAAGUAAUGUGAAUUGCAGAAUUCCGUGAAUCAUCGAAUCUUUGAACGCACAUUGCGCCCCCUGGCAUUCCGGGGGGCAUGCCUGUCCGAGCGUCAUUUCUGCCCUCAAGCACGGCUUGUGUGUUGGGUGUGGUCCCCCCGGGGACCUGCCCGAAAGGCAGCGGCGACGUCCGUCUGGUCCUCGAGCGUAUGGGGCUCUGUCACUCGCUCGGGAAGGACCUGCGGGGGUUGGUCACCACCAUAUUUCACCACGGUUGACCCCGGAUCAGGUAGGAGUUACCCGCUGAACUUAAGC